UACGGGGGGGGCAAGCGUUGUUCGGAAUUACUGGGCGUAAUGGGCUCGUAGGCGGCCAACUAAGUCAGACGUGAAAUCCCUCGGCUUAACCGGGGAACUGCGUCUGAUACUGGAUGGCUUGAGAUUGGGAGAGGGAUGCGGAAUUCCAGGUGUAGCGGUGAAAUGCGUAGAUAUCUGGAGGAACACCGGUGGCGAAGGCGACAUCCUGGACCAACACUGACGCUGAGGAGCGAAAGCCAGGGGAGCAAACGGG
rnacentral:rRNA from 1 species